rnacentral:misc_RNA from 1 species
GAUGAAGAACGCAGCGAAAUGCGAUAAGUAGUGUGAAUUGCAGAAUUCAGUGAAUCAUCGAAUCUUUGAACGCACAUUGCGCCCCUUGGUAUCCCGAGGGGCAUGCCUGUUCGAGCGUCAUUUCACCACUCAAGCCUGGCUUGGUGUUGGGCGACGUCCCCUUUGGGGACGCGCCUCGAAACGCUCGGCGGCGUGGCACCGGCUUUAAGCGUAGCAGAAUCUUUCGCUUUGGAAGUCGGGGCCCCGUCUGCCGGAAGACCUACUCGCAAGGUUGACCUCGGACCAGGCAGGGAUACCCGCUGAACUUAAGCAUAUCAAUAAGCGGAGGA